rnacentral:rRNA from 1 species
GAUGAACGCUGGCGGCGUGCCUAAUACAUGCAAGUCGAGCGAACAGAUGAUGCGCUUGUUCCUUUCACGUUAUCGGCGGACGGGUUUAUAACAUGUGGAUCACCUCCUUAUAUUUCUGAGAACUCUUCGAGACACCGGCGCUAAUACCGGAUCAUCUAUUGAUCCGCAUGGUUCAUUAGUGAAAGACGGUUUUUCUGUAACUUCUAGCUGGAUCCGGGCCGCAUUAGGUAGUUGGUAAGGUAACGGCUUACUAAGGCAACGAUGCGUAUCCGACCUGAGAGGGGGAUCGGCCACACUGGAGCGGAGACACGGUCCAGAGUACUACGGGAGGCAGCAGUAUGGAAUCUUCCGCAAUGGUCGAAAGCCUGACGGAGCAGCGGCGCGUGAGUUAUGGAGGUCUUCGGAGCGUAAAACUCUGUUAUUAGGGAAGAACAGAUUUGUAAGUAACUAUGCACGGCUUGACGGUACCGAAUCAGAAAGCCACGGCUAACUACGUG